rnacentral:lncRNA from 1 species
AAGUAAAAAACAAGCAAGAAACAACAACUGGAACUGGGCACUAUGUUAAUAGGUUCAUCCCAAAAAUUGAUAUAUAGUUGCUAUAAAAUGAUUGUAAAACAUCCAAGAAUGAUAAUAUAAUAGCAUGGAACAAUAAAAAAUUAUAGAUACGUUGGAGACGUAUCAUACUUUGCUUCGAGGGCUAAUUGCGGCACCCCUGCUCGGAGCAACCGGUUUACCUUGCAUUGCCAGCCCAUGGAUCAUGUCUUCUGGCAACACACAACAAGUUGGUACAGAUGGACACCCGCUUUAUUGAUACAGAGGUUCAAUAUUACAUCAGACAGUGAGGCCAAGCGGCACAGGCGGUGCUGCUGCACAUAUGUCCAUUAUUUAGUUAACAUAAGGAGGGCCUCGAUCACAAUGAUACAGCUACGCGGUAGCGGAAAGAUGACUUAGGAGGACUCCAUCUCACAGGGACACUGAUGUGGACACGAUCUAGACUGUGAUGCAACGAUGCAACUCCAACUCCGGUAUAGCUUCUCCUAAAACUGGCAUGACACGACAGGUGAGUACCUUGAAUGUACUUGCAAGCUCACACAAAUAAAGCAACAAUGGAAAACAACAACAUGAUAUUUAAGCAGGUUAUAUGCAAGAACUUAGCAUGCUACUCAUGAAGUGACAGUGAUCAUAACAGGUCGCGGACCUUCUUACCAUCUCGGUUACCUCGUAACCACGAUCAUCAUCAUAACAUGGUGAUCACCUCAGGAUCACAAACAAAACCAUCUUGAUGGUCUCAACAACUCCACCAACAUAACCGAUGCCACAAGUAUACAUUUAGUGUGCAGGUUCAAUAUUUCUGUUGAUCCACGGUGUGACCUACUACGAACUUGUGUCCGUGACCGAGGACGCGGCUAUCGAUAGAUUAAACACAUUCUACAGAGUUUAGCACACUGUACCCACACCACAGAACCCAUGGCCUCGAACUCCCAUUCGGGUGGACCAACGACGUUCUGACAGAACCAACCUAUUGCCAUGACACUCUCCCGGCCCCUCCGACAAACUCCCCUUUGGGCUAAGUCCUGGGUGGCCCCGAUGUCACCGCAUGACACCCAAUGGCCACCAUCGUGACAAAACAAACGGUCCCAAACAGGGACAAUGGUACCAAAAACAACUAUGGGCACACAAGGCUAUGUCUGCCUACCGGGCCAGGGUAGCACAAGCGCAUAACCUUCCCUAGUUGGAGGCAACGGCGAGAGGCAUAACAACAGAUCGAGAAAGGGCCUUCCCAUAAAAGGCAAAUGUGGUUGCACUUUGGGAAGCUCGAUUCGAUGGCACCAUGACUCGAUCAACAACAUGUUCAAGUUGGAUUAUAAUCAGGUUUCAACUUGCAAAUAAAUAUUACUAAGCCAUAAUAUGCCAUGAAUAUGCAAUGAACUAUGCAUGCAAAUUUCCACAUAAUACCAAUAUGAACUUAACCAUGCUCUUUAUCAUGUUACCCUACUGCAUAUACUUAGUCAUUCAACUAAAAUGUCACUGAUCACCAAACAAGCAUAGCAAGAACAUGAAACUAGCAUCAAGUGAUAUUAUAUGAAUUUUCUAUAUGCAUUAAAAAGACCAUAUUCAAGUGAAAAUCAUAGUUAUUGAAAUGACACCCUUGCAAAUAAUUGUGAUGGCUUGCCUUAGUGCAGAGGAGGGUCACAAGCCUCCUGGUUAUCCUCAAGGCAGCAAAUUCCUUCUGAAAAUAUUUAAAAUAGCAAAAAUAAAAUGUCACAUAACACUGUUUAAUGCACCAGGAAAUAACCACAGCAAGCAAAAAUCUCCUCUUUUGCAUGCUGAUAGAGGAGUUCAACACAAAAUAAUGCAAAAAGAAGCAUAUCAUUUGGACUUAUAGAAUAAAAGUUAGAGGAGGUCAAAGUUUAGUCAACUUUCUGAAUUAAAAUGAUUUUUGAAAAAUAACCAAAGGGGGUGACGUCGAAGACGUAUUUUCGAAAUACACCUCGACUUAUACCGCUUCGGCGAGCGCACAAUCAGGCUGACAGGCAGGCCCCACUGGCAGGGUUUGACGUUGAGAGGGAGAGAAAUAGAGGAGGCAGCGCGGUGGUCAGUGGUUCUCCGGUGAGGAGACCUCGGCUGCUGCCGGCGAGGGGAGGGAUGGAUGCGCCUCUUCUCGGCGAGCACGCACAUACCCGUAGAUUCACCGGAGAUGGACGGAGGAGGUCGCCCUGUUCUUCUCUAGAGACGGCAGCGGAUGGAGGUCGCCGGAGAAGAAGAUGCCGGCGAGGUGAGGUAGUUCCAGUGGCUCCAGCAGCAUCGUCCGGGACUAGCAGAGUACCACGAACACACCUAGGUGGUUGGAGGGCAUCGAGGAUCACCGAAGGAAGCAUGGCACCGAG